AGAGCGAACGCUGGCGGCAGGCCUAACACAUGCAAGUCGAGCGCCCCGCAAGGGGAGCGGCAGACGGGAGAGUAACACGUGGGAACGUACCCUUUGGUUCGGAACAACACAGGGAAACUUGUGCUAAUACCGGAUAAGCCCUUACGGGGAAAGAUUUAUCGCCGAAAGAUUGGCCCGCGUCUGAUUAGCUAGUUGGUGAGGUAACGGCUCACCAAGGCGACGAUCAGUAGCUGGUCUGAGAGGAUGAUCAGCCACAUUGGGACUGAGACACGGUCCGGACUCCUACGGGAGGCAGCAGUGGGGAAUAUUGGACAAUGGGGGAAACCCUGAUCCAGCGACGCCGCGUGUGUGAAGAAGGCCUGCGGGUUGUAAAGCACUUUUAGUGGGGACAAAAGUCACGGGUUAAUACCGCGUGAUCUUGAUUUAACCUACAGAAAAAGCACCGGCUAACUCUGUGCCAGCAGCCGC
rnacentral:rRNA from 1 species